CACUUAAUACAUUUUUAAAUCAAUCACUUUGUCUCUGUUUACAUUAGUUAAUGCACAAUGAACAUUAUCAAAUAUUAUUAAUGUUGUAAAAUAUAUUGUUCAUUGUUAGUUCAUAUUAGCUAAGGCAUUACCAAAUGUUAAGGAAUAAACUCUUAUAGUAAAGUGUUACUACAUUUUCUUUUACCAUUUCCUUCACAAUGUCUAUUUAUUUCUAUGGCUAACAGAUUUUGUAACAUUUGUCUUUUUUACAGUCUUACCAUUGCUUGUAAGCUGGAUUGGGUAAGAUGGAUCAUCUUUAAAGGCACCAGGAGUUAAGGCAGAUGUGGAGGCACAACGGGUGAUACCAGACACACACCAAGCACAUUAUGUUCGGACAUUCAAUCAUGACAGGAUCCAGGUGGAUGCUGUCCAUUGAGAAAAGAGUUUGUUCAGCGGUUUCUGGAUAGAAUUAAUUCCAAAGAUGGGAAAAAGUGCACAUCCAGACAAGGAGCAAGCAAAAAGACAAGGAACUUGGUGCAGAGAAAAGCUGUGGCCAUUAACCCCCAUGUGAACAGCUUCAUGCAGUCCCUGAUUGAGUUCGAAUGGACGACUUCAAAGUAAAGGCCACUGUGGUCUGUCUGCCACAGUUUAAUGCAUUUAUUUUUAGUGUUAAAUGAAAUUCAAGUAGAAUAUUUAAAACUAUGGGCCAGUGUUGUUUUUACCACAGUGAAAUGUUACCUUUUAGUCGAUGAUGGACUUUAAACUGAAAACUUCAAACUAUGGAACAGUGUUCUAUUUGCCAGAGUUAAAUAUGUUACAGCAGGGGUCUCCAAACUUGUUUAUACUUGUUGAUUUUAUUUUA